rnacentral:misc_RNA from 1 species
AUUUGUGGUCGACAACGAUACAAAUGCUUGGACUUCGUUGACGAACCGCAGAUGACGACGACAAUUGCGCUGCGGCCGCCGCAGGCCGACCCCUGACUAUGUCGUUGGCUGCACCUAUAGCACUCCGAAAGGCGGAACCGACCCUAAGGCUACGCUCUACUACAAGUUCAAGCUCAUGACGAAUAAUCAGCUUCAGAGGGUCACUACCUAUCGCAAUGAUCGCACUGAGUUCAUGGGCCGCGCAGCGCUCAAGCAAAUCAGUCUAAUUUUUGAUCUGCCCAACUUUACCUACGAAUGAGAGCGGUC